CACAGAUUCAACACCAAUCCCAGAUUUCAGACCAACUGGAUUCUGUCACACAACCCUUGUUUUCUCUGGCUCAGGGUGAAGAAGGUAUGAUGACUCAACAUCCUCAUUUGGUGGUGCCUAUCACUUUGCAAUAUGGUGAUAAUAAAAUUUCAACUACAGCUGUGAUAGAUUCCAGAGCAGGCGGAAACUUUAUGGACAUUAAAUUUGCAGCAGGAAAUAAAAUUCAGUCUAUCCCUAAAUCUUCACCUGUGUUAAUGGAAACAGUAGACGGUCAGGCCCGGUUACACAUGAGACUGUGCCCUUAAAAUUGAUUCUGGAAUUGAAUCACCAUGAGUCUAUAUCUUUCCACCUAAUUUCCUCAACACAGUUUCCAGUGAUUUUGGGUAUACCCUGGCUUGCUCUGCAUAACCCACAGAUUGAUUGGAAGACUAAAACUUUGUCCUUUCCUUCAGAACACUGCUUAAUGAAUUGUCAACCCUCUAAGGCGACACCUGUUACC